rnacentral:rRNA from 1 species
UACAGAGGGGGCAAGCGUUGUUCGGAAUUACUGGGCGUAAAGGGCGCGUAGGCGGCCUUCUAAGUCGAACGUGAAAUCCCCGGGCUCAACCCGGGAAUUGCGUCCGAUACUGGAAGGCUUGAAUCCGGGAGAGGGAUGUGGAAUUCCAGGUGUAGCGGUGAAAUGCGUAGAUAUCUGGAGGAACACCGGUGGCGAAGGCGGCAUCCUGGACCAACACUGACACUGAGGAGCGAAAGCCAGGGGAGCAAACGGG